rnacentral:lncRNA from 1 species
AAAAAAAAAAAAAAAGUAAUUUAUAAGCCUAAUGUGUCAUCCCCAUUCACAUAAGAAAAGUUUGAUUUGCGAGCGAGACCAAUAGAAAGGCACAAAACUUAGCAAGGGAUGGGCAACAACAAAAAGCUCCAAUCUUGCGCCACAAACAGCACUACCAAUUAGGUUUGCAGCAGUAGGCAUCAUGCAUGCAUCACAAUAAUCUCAAUGUCCCUAAGAUUCCACAACAUAAUUGAUAGCAUAUGAGCAAGUCCAGCUCAUUUAAAGUGAUAUGGACCUUGAGAGCAUUAUCUAAUAAAUAUAGUUUGGAUCCACUGGAGUCUUCAUGUAGAACCAUGGCUUAUGUCUACAAUAGUAAAAAGGCAGAUCCAUAACAAGUAUAUGCUCAUGUCAAGUAAUCAAUACUACUUGGGCAUUUAAAAAAUUAAAUAUUCAUCACUAAAUGAAGAUGACGAAUCAAUUAUUGAGACAUAAGAUGGAAGCAAUCAAUUUAUGUACAUUAUUAACAUUAAUUACCAAAUAAAGCAUGGCCGAACAAUUUCAACACAGGAAACACAUAAAAUCGGGAAAACCCAUGACCAACCUCAUCAAAUCCCACAUAAAUAUCACUUGCAUGCAUGUAAUCUAACAUGUAUAGAGUAAUUCUUCAACAAAAAAAUCCAUACGAACAACAUAAAAAACUCACCUCAGUGCGUGCAGACUGAAGCUGCAAAACCCACUCCCACCCUCUUUCACAACACAAUGUGCAGACUGAAGCUGCAAAACACACUCCCACCCUCUUUCACAACACAAUGAGCUGUGUAAAUCCUCAAGCUUCUUGAAAAACGAGCAUGUGGUAGGUAAGGGAUCAAGAAAUUGGCGCGAAACUGUCUCCAACACGCAACCUCCAUUUUGCUUCAAUUUGUGCUUGUAGAGAGUACAUUUUGCAAAGAUAAAGCUGUUUUUU